rnacentral:rRNA from 1 species
UACGAAGGGGGCUAGCGUUGCUCGGAAUUACUGGGCGUAAAGCGUGCGUAGACGGUUAUGUAAGUCAGGUGUGAAAGCCCAAGGGCUCAACCUUUGGAAUUGCAUUUGAGACUGCAUAGCUAGGGUGCGGAAGAGGGAAGCGGAAUUUCCGGUGUAGCGGUGAAAUGCGUAGAUAUCGGAAGGAACACCAGUGGCGAAAAGCGGCUUCCUGGUCCAGCACCGACGUCAGGCACGAAAGCGUGGGGAGCAAACAGG